AGGACGAACGCUGGCGGCGUGCCUAACACAUGCAAGUCGAACGCGCUCCAUUCGGUAGCAAUACUGAUGAAGAGCGAGUGGCGAACGGGUGAGUAGCACGUGAGCAACCUGCCCCGAAGACUGGGACAACACCGGGAAACCGGUGCUAAUACCGGAUAUCCCUAUCGGACCGCAUGAUCUGAUAAGGAAAUGGAUUCCGCUUCGGGAGGGGCUCGCGGCCUAUCAGCUAGUUGGUGGGGUAAUGGCCCACCAAGGCAUCGACGGGUAGC
rnacentral:rRNA from 1 species